GGGGCUGUAGCGCAGCUGGGAGCGCGUCUCAAUGGCAUUGAGAAGGUCAGGGGUUCGAAUCCCCUCAGCUCCA
rnacentral:tRNA from 1 species